rnacentral:rRNA from 1 species
GGGGGGGGGGGGGGGGGGGGGGGGGGGGGGGGGGGGGGGGGGGGGAGGGGGGGACGGGGACCGAGGGGAGGAGCGGCGAACGGGUGGGUAACGCGUGGGGAAUCUGCCUUUGAGCGGGGGACAACAUGUGGAAACGGAUGCUAAUACCGCAUAAAAACUUUAAACACGAGUUUUAAGUUUGAAAGAUGCAAUUGCAUCACUCAAAGAUGAUCCCGCGUUGUAUUAGCUAGUUGGUGAGGUAAAGGCUCACCCAGGCGAUGAUACAUAGCCGACCUGAGAGGGUGAUCGGCCACAUUGGGACUGAGACACGGCCCAAACUCCUACGGGAGGCAGCAGUAGGGAAUCUUCGGCAAUGGACGAAAGUCUGACCGAGCAACGCCGCGUGAGUGAAGAAGGUUUUCGGAUCGUAAAACUCUGUUGGUAGAGAAGAACGUUGGUGAGAGUGGAAAGCUCAUCAAGUGACGGUAACUACCCAGAAAGGGACGGCUAACUACGUG